AUCCUACGGGAGGCAGCAGUGGGGAAUAUUGCACAAUGGGCGCAAGCCUGAUGCAGCCAUGCCGCGUGUAUGAAGAAGGCCUUCGGGUUGUAAAGUACUUUCAGCAGUGAGGAAGGUGGGUAUGUUAAUAGCAUAUUCAUUUAACGUUAGCUGCAGAAGAAGCACCGGCUAACUCCGUGCCAGCAGCCGCGGUAAUACGGAGGGUGCGAGCGUUAAUCGGAAUUACUGGGCGUAAAGCGCAUGCAGGUGGUUUGUUAAGUCAGAUGUGAAAGCCCGGGGCUCAACCUCGGAAUUGCAUUUGAAACUGGCAAACUAGAGUACUGUAGAGGGGGUAGAAUUUCAGGUGUAGCGGUGAAAUGCGUAGAGAUCUGAAGGAAUACCGGUGGCGAAGGCGGCCCCCUGGACAGAUACUGACACUCAGAUGCGAAAGCGUGGGGAGCAAACAGGAUUAGAUACCCUGGUAG
rnacentral:rRNA from 1 species